rnacentral:rRNA from 1 species
UACGUAGGGGGCAAGCGUUGUCCGGAUUUAUUGGGUUUAAAGGGUGCGUAGGCGGUCUUAUAAGUCAGUGCUGAAAUAUCCCGGCUUAACCGGGAGGGUGGCAUUGAUACUGUAGGACUUGAGUAGAGUUGAGGUUGGCGGAAUUGACGGUGUAGCGGUGAAAUGCUUAGAUAUCGUCAAGAACACCGAUAGUGAAGACAGCUAACUAAGCUCAAACUGACGCUGAGGCACGAAAGUGUGGGGAUCAAACAGG